rnacentral:rRNA from 2 species
CUACCUUGAGCUACGGGAUAACAGAGAGAAAUUUCUGCUAAUACCGUAUGUGGCCUUUGGGCGAAAGAUUUAUCGGCUUAAGAUGAGCCCGCGUUGGAUUAGCUGGUUGGUGGGGUAAAGGCCUACCAAGGCGACGAUCCAUAGCUGGUCUGAGAGGAUGAUCAGCCACACUGGGACUGAGACACGGCCCAGACUUCUACGGGAGGCAGCAGUGGGGAAUAUUGGACAAUGGGCGCAAGCCUGAUCCAGCCAUGCCGCGUGAGUGAAGAAGGCCUUAGGGUUGUAAAGCUCUUUCACCGGUGAAGAUAAUGACGGUAGCCGGAGAAGAAGCCCCGGCUAACUUCGUGCCAGCAGCCGCGGUAAUACGAAGGGGGCUAGCGUUGUUCGGAUUUACUGGGCGUAAAGCGCGCGUAGGCGGAUAGAUAAGUCAGAGGUGAAAUCCCGGGGCUCAACCCCGGAAUUGCCUUUGAUACUGUUUAUCUUGAGUGCAGAAGAGGUAAGUGGAAUUCCNAGUGUAGAGGUGAAAUUCGUAGAUAUUCGGAGGAACACCAGUGGCGAANGCGGCUUACUGGUCUGCAACUGACGCUGA